rnacentral:lncRNA from 1 species
GCUUGGCCUCGACGCGCUCGGACGUGAACAUAUGGUAGCUUCUCACCGCCGUCUUCUGAGGUAUCGUUAGCUGAUUUUUUCCCCUUUUUAGAAGUUUCUUUUACCUGAAUUUCACAGAAAUUGUUCAUCAAACUGAAAUUAGCAUCCCUCGUCGGAAAAUUACACUAUUUAUACAUGUUUAACACUAUUCUUUACGUGUAUAUAUAUAAUAGAUGUCGAACUCUUUCAGCUAGUUCAUAUGUUUACUUCUUUAGAUGUUACCUACAGGAGAAAAUGAAAAUUCUGGCUCCUACACUAAAUGGGAUGUUGAAAUUACCUUUUUCUCGCGUUCCUUUCUCUUUGUUGAUUUCUGAUUGACUAGUGGAUUGGAAGUCGCCGGAGAUGAAUUGUGGUUAAAUUCGGAAUCUAUGGGUUCUUGUUUGACGAACAGUGAUUUCGAUCCGGAAUUUGAAAGGGUUGAAUUGGACUCCGGAGAGUUACCGGCGGCGGCGAAGACGGAGAACUUAGAAGCUCUGUCGAUCAAAGCGAUAUCUGAAGGAAAAAUCGGAGGAGGAGGAUAACGAUAGUGAGGUUCACUGA